rnacentral:rRNA from 1 species
UACGGAGGGUGCAAGCGUUAUCCGGAUUUACUGGGAUUAAAGGGUGCGUAGGUGGGUCUGUAAGUCAGUGGUGAAAUCUCCGAGCUUAACUCGGAAACUGCCAUUGAUACUAUAGGUCUUGAAUUAUCUGGAGGUAAGCGGAAUAUGUCAUGUAGCGGUGAAAUGCUUAGAUAUGUCAUAGAACACCGAUUGCGAAGGCAGCUCACAAAGCCAUUAUUGACGCUGAGGCACGAAAGUGCGGGGAUCAAACAGG